ensembl:lncRNA
CGGUUCUAUGUAGGUAGCCCUCAGAUCUGCUAAGCAAAAAGGUAAAAGUGAUGCAACAGCAAAAUGUCCACUAGAUGCCAGGCUUCCUUUGCAGAGCAGAGCAGCUGCACAGCUUUGCAAAGCUUUACACAAAUAGCCUCUCUCUCCGAUGUAGUGGACACAAGCUGUAGUGUUUAGCACCAAAUCCUACUACCUUUUGGGUUCAGUGACAAACCCUCUGGAUUUAUCCCUGCUAUCUCCCAGAAGUUUUCAAGAAGGGCAAAAGACAUUUCAGAAGAACUAAAUAUAGGAGCUGUUGGUAAGAAGAACUGGGUUUUUCUACGUCCCUUAUUUCUGUAUCAGUAGAAAGCUCCCAGAGAAGAGACCGGAAUGAGUUGUGUAGCUGACACACUCGAUCAGCAAACAAACCUAGUUGAACAGUAGCAUGGAUGAUUGCUGACCCUGCCUCCUGUACUCCCAGUGCCACCAUCAACAGGAUCACUGCUUCCUUUAAUGCAUCUGGGGAGUUAAUCAUGGCUGUGCAGCGAGAAAGGCUGCUGCCUGUCUCUAGGGCUGCAGAAAUUGUUUCCUCCAGCCCCCGACUGUCCCUGUCACCCGGUGCCAGAUGGGAAGUGAGAGCUCAGCCGAUCCACCUCUUUGUGGUGGAAACCCCCCGAGCUUCGGCUACAGUUUAGAAGACUGAAAAAUGACAAACCUUCCUGGAAAAUAGAGCCAAAAUCAUGCCUAAACCUCCCACCUGUAGUGGAUGCGCAGAUACCGAACAAAGAAUUGGGUGUGUAGGAUAUGACAUCCCAGCAAGCCACACUGGAUUUUUCCUCCCUUGUGGCCUGAUGGACCCCACCUUCAGCAGCAGCCCCAAUAGAUGACCCAGGAACAAUUUCCCUCACAGCUAAGUUGUACCUUCAAGGAGCCUGUUUCAUCAUGUCAUUAUGCACAAGUGAGAUACAACAUCAUUUACAGCAUUUACUUUCUUCUGGAGAAACAGACCUCUGCCCUUUCUAAACAGCAGUAAGAUUAAGGAAUAGUUACCUGCCAGUAUUACAUUUGCUUCGAGAACAUAGAUGAGACCUUUCAGCUGAAAGGGUAGCUUGGGCAGAUUUUAUGUUAUUUCUACCCUUAUGUCUCUUGCUGUCAAUUUCUUUUUGCUGAAAAAUCUUUAACACAAGCAUUUUUUGCAUGGAUACUGAUUGAAAGCCAUUGACAGGAAGACUGAUAUGUACACAAGCCACUAAGAGCAGCACAUAAGUGGUCUCAGACAUGCUAACAGCAUAAAACCACAAAGGACAGAAGCUCAUAUGACCACAUUCCCCCCCUCCCCCCCAUUAGUACGUCCUCCUCUUGCCAAACUCCAAGAAAUCCAAAAUUUCUAGCAGCCAUUUCCCCCAGAUUAGGCCUUUUGUUUACAUUUCGCAAAACUUUGGCUUUAUGAGUCAUGUCCAACUCUGUCGUCAAACACAGGUGCAAUUACCUUAAUGAAAGCCAUUAAUAAUUCACUGUUAUUUUAUUUUACAGUAUAAGAAGGCUUGUGACAGUUAUGAAUAACAUUCAGCAUUAUUUGCUAAGGAUUUUUUCCUUAUUUGCCCUUAUCUCUAUUAUCGUACAACCUAAUCCUCUGCCUACCUAGUCUGACUGCUUUUGCACUCCCUCAUUGUUUACCAAAUGAAUAAUUAAUGGCUGAUAACCUGCAGCCAAAUCCCUCCCAGACCAUCUCCUGCCUUGUCUAUGCCAUUUUCUAGUUUAUUUCAGCAGCUUGGUUUACAGGCCUCAAUAUCACUUACAUCUUUGAAAGAAAGAAAUGGGAGCAAAUAAAAGUGUAAUAAGGUCAAAGGUCACAUUAAUGUGAGCUAUAAUAUUUAUCUAUUUGCAGAUCUUUUUAGCAUUUGUUACAUAACAAAAUCUACUACAUCCAACCUUGUCUUCAUGAAUACAAAAGCCCACAUAGAACAACCACAACAGCAAAAAAAAAAAAAUCACUGCAGAUGCCAUUACCAGUUUCCAAAACAUCACUUGUUUCCCAGCACUAAUCUACACUGUCUUCUCUCAGCACAUCUUUCUACCUUUCAUAAGCCCCACUUAAUUCUGCAUCUCUCACAGCUCCACAGAACUUUCAUGUCCCCUUACCACUUAUAUUACCAGAUUUUGUCAAUCAGUGCACAAACACCAAAGAUGAGCUCUGUCCCAAACCACAGUGAACAGCAGACAAAAACCCACUCAGCAGAGCCAUCACAUGAGCACACACAGCCUUCUAUGCGGGGAUGAUCUUCUGCUUCCAGGCUCCACAACAAGAACUGGGUCUGAUGAUUUUUACUUUUUGUGCAGACUUCUAAAGUCUGCUUUUCAAUUUAAUAUUCAAGCUCAGCAUCUAAACUAAGAUCUAGCCCUCUUCUUGCUUUCAUUACUUCAUACUUGUAGCAUUUUUGUUCAAGUUGCUGGUGGGAAUCAGAGCCCAAAGCACUGACAGCUUCUCCCAAAUGUAUUCCUCUACAUCUGCAUAAGGAAGCUCAGGUUGCUCAGAUUGUAACAAACAAUGAACAACAUGAAUGCUAUCUGGGGUAAAUAGGCCAUUAAAUUCAAACAUUAGGCAUUCCGUUUUAUUUUUCGAAGCCACAGUUAGAGAGUUACCAGAGCUUCGGCUGCAGUAAUAAGCAGGAGUGUUCAAGUAUUGUACUAGGGUUGAAUGCACAUCAGCCUAGUUUAAACAUGCUGAAGAGGGCUUUUGCAUACAGGUUAAUGUUGAUGAACUUCAUAUUGUUCACAUAAUACCCACGCAGUUGAAAUUUUAUGAUCCACAACCACAAAAAACGGGGUUUUGGUUUUGUUGAUGGUUUGAGAUGUUAGAGAAACACUUUUGCAUUUAUCCCACUGAUUGAUAUCACAAACACAGCUACGAAUCCUUUUCAAGUUGUUAAAUAAACAUAUCUAUAAUUAAAUGCAUCACCUACUGUAAUCUUACUGAUAGAGUACAUGAUGAUGAAAGAAAGAAAUGAAAUAGAAAAUGUGAAGCUAAAAUGGCAUUGUUAUGUAAAAUGUUUAAAAUAAAAGUAAUUUAGAUUAGAUGUUUUUCAAAAGAAAUCCAAAUUCAUGCUUCAUGACAAAUAACAAACUUCUUCAAAGAAGUUCUCUCAGUCAGAAUUAAUUUGGAGUCUGAUUCCUUGCAAUGCCAAAUACCUUAAAGGCUCAGAGUCUUGAGUAUUAGUAACACCUUCACCAACAUGAACUAGUUGCAAAGUGUCUACAUUCAAGAGAAAGAAAUUGGUCAAACUGGCUGGGAAAAAAAAAUAAUCAAUAUUUAAAAACUUAAUUUGGUUCCAGUGCAUGCUCAUUUGAUAUUCAGAAAGAGACAUGGUUUCAGACAAGCCACCUCAGAAGUGCUCUCAGUGAAGAACAUUUUCCUAACACCCAACCUGACCCACCCAUGCAGCUCCAUGCUAUUCCCUCAGGUCCUGUCACUGUCACCAGAGAGCAGAGCUCAGCACUGCCACUCCACUCCCUGCAAGUAGGCCUCCAUGAGGCCUCUCCACAGCCUCCCCUGCUCUGCGCUGAACAAACCCAGGGACCUCAGCUGCUCCUCACAUGUCUUGCCCUCUAGACCCUUCACAAUCUUCACAGCCUCCUCUUUUGGAUGCUUUCUAACAGUUUUAUGUCUUCCUUAUGCUGGGAAGCCCAAACCUGCACACAGUGCUUGUGGUGAGGCUGCAUCAUGACAGAGCAGAGCAGGACAGUCCCUUCCCUUGACAGGCUAACAAUGCUGUGCUGUUGUUUAAUUAGAAAAUUAUGGCAAGUUUAAUUAUGGAAAGUUCAGAAUUCAACAGCAGUAUACUUGAGAUAGUUCCAGGACAGAAGGGAUGAAGACAAGAAGAGGGGCCAGUGGGAUGUGAGCAGUUGGCACCAGUUUCUGGAUACCAUCAUUCUCAGGCCUAAGCCUGGCAACUCAACAAAUUUCUGUCAACAUAACAUCUCUAGUAUUUCACCAGGAGACAACAUCUAAUUUCCAGUAAUUUUGGCUACUGGAGUCUAGGUUGCUGUGGUUGGAUGUUCAACUUUGUGUCAGGAGCUUUAGGUCCAUUCCUGUCAGUAUCACAGAGACAAGCAGCUGGGUUAGGUCCUUCACACCUAAAAAGGAAAUGUCAACUCAGUACAAUUCAGCAGGCCUCUUAGGCUUAUUUCAUCUAAGCACAUACAGGCAACCAUAGUUUUUGAAUGACAGGUGCUGUGAAAUAUUUUAAAAAAAUAAAUUUAAAGAGAAUAGAAUAGGGCUUUAAUUUGAAGAAAGGAAUGGGAAGAAAGUUGAAAGCCUCUUGCCAUCGUGGAUGAAAUAAGCUUAUGAAAGAUGACAUAGAUGUAUGGCAGAUAAAGAGAAGAGCCUGAAUGUUUUUUUUUGUUUGUUUGUUUUUAAGGAAGAUAUAGGGAAACGUGAAAAUCUAAGAUGCAGCAAGAGGACAUGGCUGGCAUGAGGUUACCAUGAAAUAACUGAAUGAAAUAAAGGGAUAAGACCAGAAGCUUCUAGAGGGACUUCAGAAUACACAUUAGCAUCUGGAGUUUGGACUAGCCCUAAGAGAAAAUGAAAGAGACAGACUCAGACUUGGAGGAAAUAGAAAGAAGUAAUGUUAGUAUCAUGACCAUGUAUUAAAUCAAAACAGUCAUAUCUUACCUACAUUAAAAAAAAGCAUUUUUGUAGGGAAUUCUUCUAUUAAGAAAAUGCAGGAAAUGCAAUUGCUUAGCUUGCCAGUUAAAUCCAGCAUCUAAACAUUUCUAUUUUCAUUAAAAACAAAUUAAGUUGUUCUGAGAAAUUUAAUACUCAAACUCUCUAAAGAGAUCUUUGUAAGAGGAUUUCUAAGGACCCAGCUGUUAAAGACUUUCCACUAGCAAGAUCAGAAAUGUGCAAAGACAUCUUUGAAAAAAUUAUAUCCCCCUGUAGGCUAUUCAGGGCUUCUUUAUUUUUAAUUCAUGCUGUUACCAAAAUAUCUGAGAAAUAAAAGUAACGUAUCAGAAACUCAUUAACUCUUCCUCCCCUCUAUUCUGUUACACAUGCAGUACACAAAACUUUAGAAGGAAAUUCUUUCUUUGUGUUUUAUUUCAGCCAUAAAACACGUUAUAGUACUAUUGAAUACUGCAAGAUACAUUAUGCUCCUAUGGCCUCAUGCCCUGUGGCCAAGACACGUGGAUGAGGCAGCUGAGUGUACGCCCUGUCGUGUGUACUCACUUUUUAUUGUCCAUUCAAAAAACAUCAGUUUGAAAAGGAACAGAACUGAUGCCAAGAGUACUCCAACCUGGACAAAACCUGAGACAGCCGAACUUAUAGCUAAACUGCAAGUAAAUCUGUACUCUGACUCCCUAUGCUGGAAGAAUAUUUAGUUGAUUAACUUUUCUAUUGCCACACUCUGCUUCCCUGUUACAACUAGGACUGUCAGUGGUAUCAAUAUUAAAUGAAGUUGCUCUGAAGUUGAAGUUUUUUGUUUGUUCGUUUUUUAAAAAGGAGGAACAUGUUUUUAGGCUGAAAAAAAGUAUGCACACAUAUGUACAGCUACGUUAAUUUUCAGAAAUACAGCGCUUUGUACAGGGCUCUGCCUACUCUCCCAAAUCUACAUCUGCUGACUGAGUAGGCACUCAUUUGGUUACAAGGCUUUUGAAACAAUCCUUAUGUUCAUGUAGCAAAGAACAAGCAUCCACUGCCAGAACCAUUGCCUGGGAACCUUCCGGUAGGAGAUUCAAAUAGAGUUGUAGAAGCAGUCUUUUUAAUGUAUAGUUUGCGUGCCAGGCAAAACUGUUGUGCUGGCAAAUUAACAGGUAUGUCUACAGAUAUGGGAAGAAAGCAUAUUUCCAAUUAAAUGAGAUGAUCUGUCCUAUUUUGUGGUUGUUUUUUUUUUUUUGCAUGCAAAGAUGUCCC